CACAGACAAAUCUGUGGACAGACAGGUGUCACACUUUUCUAUUGACGAAAGUACAACAACCGUGUAAAAAUGGGGGGAAAUCCCGACUGCAUGAAUCAAUUAACCAGGCCAAGCAGGACAAUUAAAGACGCUAGACAGUCACGUGUACUAAUGUGACAUUAGUGAGCGCUGUCACUUUUACCUGUAUUAUUAAGUGAGAACAAGAACCCCACUUUAUGUUUGUUCCUGGUCCGUCCGUCCAUCCGUCUGUCCCUCUGCGGAUUACAUUAAAAAGCAUAUUUGGUUUCGCCACUUUCUUAUAUUACGUUUUUGCAAAGUUUUUUUUAAAAAUUUAAUAUGUAAAAGUCAUCUUUUAUCACAGGAGUGGUAAUAAUACUCAUAAAAUGAACAAUACAAACCACGCAUAUCUAUGUACGUACAUAUGUUCAUGUGAGUA